rnacentral:rRNA from 1 species
UACCUGAUUCAGCGGCGGACGGGUGAGUAAUGCCUAGGAAUCUGCCCGAUAGUGGGGGACAACGUUUCGAAAGGAACGCUAAUACCGCAUACGUCCUACGGGAGAAAGUGGGGGAUCUUCGGACCCCACGCUAUCGGAUGAGCCUAGGUCGGAUUAGCUAGUUGGUGAGGUAAUGGCUCACCAAGGCGACGAUCCGUAACUGGUCUGAGAGGAUGAUCAGUCACACUGGAACUGAGACACGGUCCAGACUCCUACGGGAGGCAGCAGUGGGGAAUAUUGGACAAUGGGCGAAAGCCUGAUCCAGCCAUGCCGCGUGUGUGAAGAAGGUCUUCGGAUUGUAAAGCACUUUAAGUUGGGAGGAAGGGCAGUAAGCUAAUACCUUGCUGUUUUGACGUUACCAACAGAAUAAGCACCGGCUAACUUCGUGCCAGCAGCCGCGGUAAUACGAAGGGUGCAAGCGUUAAUCGGAAUUACUGGGCGUAAAGCGCGCGUAGGUGGUUCAGCAAGUUGGAUGUGAAAUCCCCGGGCUCAACCUGGGAACUGCAUCCAAAACUACUGAGCUAGAGUACGGUAGAGGGUGGUGGAAUUUCCUGUGUAGCG